CUUCGCCUACGGGAGGCAGCAGUGAGGAAUAUUGGUCAAUGGACGCAAGUCUGAACCAGCCAUGCCGCGUGCAGGAAGACGGCUCUAUGAGUUGUAAACUGCUUUUGUACGAGGGCAAAUCCCGAUACGUGUAUCGGGUUGAAAGUAUCGUACGAAUAAGGAUCGGCUAACUCCGUGCCAGCAGCCGCGGUAAUACGGAGGAUUCAAGCGUUAUCCGGAUUUAUUGGGUUUAAAGGGUGCGUAGGCGGUUUGUUAAGUUAGAGGUGAAAUUGCGGGGCUCAACCCCG
rnacentral:rRNA from 1 species